GGUGAACAACAUCCGCCUCAACUUUGAUGCUUUCCAUGGGGACGAAGAGCAUGGUGGGGUGCAUGAUGGGACCACUGUCGUCCUCUGGGAGUGGCUCAAAGGCAAGAACCAGAUGUGGAAGAUUGCCCCUUGGGAGGCCUCCUUUCCUACUGCACUCAACAAUUUGACACGCAAUCCCACUGUCAGGAUCUUCACCAAGGCUGAUGUGAACUACUCACUCUCUGUUCGUAAUGGUGAAGUUGUUCUCGCCCCGGCCAACCCUCGAGACGAGUACCAGCACUGGUACAAGGAC
rnacentral:misc_RNA from 1 species